rnacentral:tRNA from 1 species
GUUUUAAUAGUUUAAAAAAAACAUCGAUCUUGUAAAUCGAAAAAAGAGUAAUCUUUAAAACU